GGCCUGUGGGCCAGAAGCUCCCUGAGCCCUGGGGGGCUGUGUGGGGGGGUGUCCGCGGUUUAGGAGGGCCCCUGGCUGGCUAGCGCUCCGGGGGGUCCCUCCGUGUCCCCGGGGGACGCUGCUGCUCUCAACUCGAGAUGUGCGUGAGGGUGAACUUGGCUGAACUUUCCUACCCGGGAGGACGGUGAUAGUGACCCGCGGUACUUGUAGGAGGAAGAGCAAAUGAGGUCCAGAUGCAGACCUGUAUAAAACCCAGCGGAUUGGGUUGAAACCUGUCUCAGUGGAGUCUGACAACUUUAAUUGUAUGUGCUUGUUUUCUGCUCUCGCCUGCGUGAGAACGAUGAAGCAGGCUCCCAGGCGUUAGGAAAUUUCUUCAAAAUUCUCGCUUAACUAGGAAGAAGACUAUGUGAACUAUUUCCGAUAAGAUUAAAACUUAAAGGAGUUUGGGUCCUUAUUGACUAAAAUAGAUUACUCCAAAGUGUCUAUUGUGUAAAUUAGAUUCCUGGAUGUAAUGAACACAGCCGAAUGGCAUUUUUGAUAAAUUGGUCUACCCCGUUUUAGUAAAAAUAGCUCCCUUUUAUCAUAAUUUAAUUCCUGUGCUUACUGUAAAACCCGUUGUGGAGUUUUAAGAGACACCCUUAAUUUUUUUUCCCCCUUGUCUUCUUAAAUGUGACAUUCGAGCUUAAUAUCAAUGAAGUUUCUUUUUUAAGCUUCCUAGCAAAACGGCCUGGGAGAUGGGUUUGGUUUCCAGAGAGUUAUUAGUUUUAGGCGCUCUUCCCUGCCCCCCUCCGGCCCCCGCCCCCCCAGCGAUUAGCUGCUUCUUCAGGGUAUCCUGAGGACGUUUAACUGUAACUCUAGGAUUCGAUUGAAAGUUUCUUUGUCAGUUUAUGUGAAUGAACGUUCAGGUGUUCGUCUUGAAUAGGAAAGUCCUUUAUCUGAGCAUCAUUCUUGUUGCUGAGCACCCGUUGGCUGUGGGUGGUGGGUGACGGUCUGGCCUCAGAUGCCACUUCAUGGCACGUUUGGAAACUUCAGUUGACUAUGGAACACGAGAGUUCAAGUAUAAGGCGAAACUGCUUCUUCCCCUGGGCGCCGAAGAGGCCUUUUGAGUUGAUAUCUAGUUUAGCGUCAUCUCUGUUCCCACAGUCAGUCAGCGAGCCAGUGAGACUGCAGCUUGAAAAGAGAAUUCAUUCCUUUCAGACUCUUCUCAUCUUUCCAGAACCCUUACGCUGAGGUCGAGUUUCCUGGAGCCCAGGGUGGGGUUCGGCAUUGCCACCUGAGGGGGACAGGCUGCUCUCAGCUGGACCCAGGUCCAGUUCGAGGCUUCAGGGUCCCCGAGGGGCAAGAUGAGGCGGUGGUGCGCCUCUCCCUUGCCACGGUCCUCGGGGCUGCCGGCUUGUCCCUCUGCUUGGUCUGUCCUGAGGCUGCCUUGGGACGGGAACGGGUCCCCAGGAAGAGAGUUUCUGAAGACGGAGGUCUGUUUCGUUUCCUUUUUAGUCCCAAAGCCUGUGGUCUGGAAGUUUCGAUGCCCUGGUGUUGCUAAGACUAGUUGGACAAGUUUUUAUCCUACCCUAGACUUGUAAAAACCAGACUUUUUUUUUAAAUAAGAAAAACACCAUUGUAUAAAUUUUCCUUUUGAAUACACUUUUGAAAAGAGGACAUUUUAGAAAACAAGCUCAUAUAGCUGUAUGUUAGUGUAGCUUUGGGGAUGCGGCCUGCCGCCGAGUGGUUUUCCCUGGGGGACUAUUCCCACAUGGUGCCUAGCGUUUCCCUGGAAGGAGCUUCUGCCAAAGGGAACUUGAAACGUUUUCCUCUUUUUCAAAAUAAAACAAUUUCAGUUUUGCUGAAAAGUCCUUUUUCUGCUUGCUUUUAUUUUGUCUUCUGUUAUGGAAGCGUGUAUGUUACCGACUCUUCCCUGUGAGAAUUAUAUUAUUUUGAUUAAAAUAUGCAUCCCCUCUAGCAGCCUUUUUAAGAUAAUGAGUAAACAAAUGGAAGGGUCCUCCGCAGCUGCUGUCUUUGUUUCCUUGGUUCUUUAAUAUCAGUGUCUUGGAGAUUGGAUGUGGGAAGGGGUCAUCAUCAGUUGAUUAAAGUUUUUUUUUCUGUGUGAAACCAUGUGUAGGUUUUUUUUUUUUUGAAGGUGCAAGUCAGCGAACGGAGGGAGUUAUGCAACAACUCCUGAUACAGUCGGAUCCUUUAAGACCCCCUUCGCCUGUUUCCUUAGUCCCACAUAUCUCCCACCAAGAGUUAGCUACCUGAGAAAGAUGAAAAGGGGACACGUGGCCAAUCCCUUCAGGAAUUCUUCUCUCCUGUCCCACUGAGCUAACCUUAAAAAUGCUAUCUGGGGAGCUGAUUGAGCCCCAAACCUUUAGUGGCAGUUGAAAAAGUCCUCUGCUCUGUUGUAUACAAUUAAAACAAACCCACAGGGGUUUAUGCAGGAGUUGUGCAGAAGCGAGUCUGUGCUCUGUGGCCCCCGCUCCGGCUCUGCCUGUAGCAGUCCAGUCAAAGCUGUUCCUGAGGCUGGGCUCACAUUGCAUCUUAGGAGAGAAAACAAGGCUCAGGGUAGAAAAUCCAUAUUCGUUUCAGCUCAUUUAUAAAGCCCGAGGAACAUCUGCAGUGAAAUGAAGGAAGGACAAAUUUGUUAGAGGAAAACGUAUGCAUUUUUUAAAAGAGAAAUUCAUCAUGUGAAAAAUCCUACAGAGCUAGGCCAGCUUCCUACCUGCGCUUCCAUUUCAUAGAGUUCACACAUUUGGCCUCAUGUGGAAUUCUUGGAAUCCUGUGUUUGAAUCUUAUUCUCGCAAAGCAGAGAGACACUUCUUCCUUAUGGCCGUUCAUUCUGUUGAAGCUGUUUGAAGAGGGGCCCUGUGACCUCUCACUGUGCCCCGCUCCUGUUUACCUGGACGUUCCAGUCAUGCUGGGCAUUUUAGGGACCGGACGCCUGCAUGUUCCACGUGGGUACCCGAGAGAACUGUGCAUGCAGAUCGUGGGGUGAAAAAGGAACUUUCGUGGCAUAAUUAGGCAAGCGAUUUAAUAUCUGUAUUAUGUAACUUUUAUAGCAAAGAAGUUGCGAAUUCCUUUGUGAUUUCUGAUUGAAUAAAUAUUUGUUGCCAUAAGCGUUUGGGGUACAUUUUAUUAUACCCUGAUAAUGACUUAGAAUUCAAAGAAACGGCUUUCCCCAAAAGUUCUUCAUUUAGAGAUUUAAGCUUAAAUAACAACCAAAAUAAAUUGGUUAGGAGGGUAUUUCAGUCACAUAUUAACGGUGGGGCCCUCUGAAUUGUCUAAAUCAUUUUUCCUAUUCUAGUUUUCAAAGCCGGCUGAUAGCUUCAGUUUUGCUGUAUGUUUAAGAACCAACUUUUGGUUGGUGUUGAUUCUGUCGGAGAGGACGACUACGAUUUGUAUUGAGCUCUUGGUCCUGGCACAGUUUUGGAUUUGCUUUUCAGCUGUCUUCUGAGAAAGCUGGUGGAGGAGAGUGGUCUUCGGCUGCACAGGAGGUGAUCUGGGACUGAGGGGGGACCUGCGGUGUCACCCUCAUUUGCGCCAUACCUGAAGCAGCUUUGAAGCUGGACAAAUGCACCUGGGCUGUGACUUAAAGAGUUUUAAAAAGUGCUUGUGCUCCCCUGUUCACGUAAGAUGACACAGUUAGAAAACAUAACGAGGGCGAACACCUCUUUCUGAAAGGCAUCGGAUUUGUUGCAAAACCUGUCAAGAACCUCUCCUUCGAAAAGUAGAUGACUCUCUAAUAAAAAUAAUUCUAAUUCUUGCUGUAAUUAGAUUCCAGUAGGACGAUGUUAGUGCACAGAAUGAAUGUGGUCGAUUUCUUCAUUUGAGUCUGAAGGCUUUCCUUUACUGCAGGAGGCCCGGGCGGUCGGCGGAAUUUUGGUGUUUAUUAGAGCCCUGGGCUAUGGGCAGCCCAGGAAGUUCCUUGGACGGGAUUGGUACAGAUUCCUACUCAGAAGACACCCUCUUCCCCCCAUCCCAUCCCUGAAGUUGUUCCUCGGGAAUACCAGCAGACAGGUGACUAGAAAGGAAUGGAGUCAGGAGUGUUGGUUCCUUCCAAGGAUUUACCUAACGCUGCAGAGCCGCUGGAAGGAUAGCCAGGUAGGAGAUGCACACGAAACUCACUAGGUUCUGCUUUCUUUCAUUAAAGCAUUUGUGGAAACAAGUUAGGAAUACCAACCAGGUGGCCCAUGGCUUUAUAAAAUAUGAGAGGCCGCUAGGUCUUGCCUAUGGCCCACUCAGCUGACAGUUGAGAUCCUAGAUGCUUUUGACUCUGUGAUUUACGAUGUUAAUGUCGGAAGAAAUCAGCAGAGCUCUCUCUCAGGCUGGCUCUUAGUACCGCCCUGAGUGUACCAGCGUGGUGGCCUCUUUCCUUAAAGACAUCUUUCUAUGGGGCCGUGUUUAUUCAAUAAGUAAAAGCACUUAAUGUUUUUUAAAAAGUUAUGUAUGUCUGUGAGUUGUUCCGAGUUUGGUUAAGGGAAAAACAAAUUGACAAAUUAGCUCUUUCUUAAGUGAACAUUGCAAAAUUGUGAGAAAUAGAAUGCCAUUCUUGCUGUCAUUAAAAUUUUCUUUGGGUGUUGACAGCUUUUUGCUAAAUGUAGGAUGUUCAGAUCCUGUCCACCCAGCUGUAAAAAAAAAAAAAAAAAACCCAAAACAACAACCCUCUCCAAAGCUUCUUCCCAGUUUCCCCCAAAAGCAAGAUAGUCUUUCUCAGAUUGGAUCUUUCCCCCUUAAAAAUCGUUAGUAUUUUAUUUUCUAACAUAGUUUUAUGUUUUUAAGACCAAAAAUCUGAAUCUGAACUCACUUUAGGCCCUUUGCUUCUUCACUUGUUACUUGGGACCUAUGAGGGUCUGCCCUCCUGUUUUUAGGGAAGAAGUAGCUAUUUAGAUCAAAAUAAUUUGAUUAAAGCUAGUAAAUGACACCAGCGGUAAAUCCUUGUCGUGAAGAGCCUGAAGCUGCAAAUCGGAGCAGGGCUGGGGGGCUGUUGGUACAGGAAGGGCCACCCUCUGCCGGGGCGCUGCCAGCCCUGGCGCCUGCUGUCGCCACUGCCUGCCAUUUCUUGCCCCUCUUCUGAGCUCCUGCUCUGCCAAGCCUGUCCCCCCACUUUGUUGUGACAACUGUUUUUUUAAAAGUAUUUGUGGAGCGCCAUUAUUUUGAGAUUCUUGGAAGAAAGAUACUAUGUAAAUGAAAAUUAAAAAUAAAUUUCUUGCUGGA